AACAAAAUGUGCUGUCCUAUUCUAUGAUUUUUAUUGUGCAGGUAGAACAGAACACAAAGGAAAGAGAAUCUAAACAUCGCACGAUGAAAUGUAUUAUGUAGAGCAGCUGGAAACAUUAUUUCCAGGACUUUUUGAAGACUACCUCAGGUGCUUCUCAGAACAAACACAGCAGGAAAAUGAUGCCAUC
rnacentral:lncRNA from 1 species